GUUAAUAGAGUCCUACGAGAUGAGAAGAGUAACUGGUGAAUGGGCUCUAUUUUUUAAUCUAGUUGGUGAUUUAUGGAGAAGAGAAAGAGACUCUUCAGGUUUCUGCCUUUCCAUCUCAUUUCAAGAACAGAAAUACAUCGAGAUGGGGCGUCCUUACUCCCAGUCUUUCCAGAUGUUCUUCCCACUCCUCAACUGCUCCUGGCUCAGAAACCCUGCACACCUGGAAGAAAGUGAGAACCAGUUUUUCAACAAACACAUUGCACAGACUUAUUGUGAACCCCGGGUGGAAUCAAGCAUCGGAGGAAGAGAACGUGGGUCUUGCUGUGUCCCUAGGCUGGAGUGCAGUGGUGCAGUCUCAAUUAUGCCAGAUGGCUCUGAGGUCCAAGUAAAAGAUAAUAUUUGCAACCAACUCACUGGAGUUGACCAUCAAAACUCUUUUCCAGGCACACUCAGGCAUCGCAGAAAAUAAUAUGUAUUGUGGAAUCCCUCACUUGAUGAAUAAUCUAGAUGAUCAGAAAUGUGGCACUAUUUUGGCUUUCAGGUGGAAAAGCACCCUGAAUCCAGCUUCCUGCUAUGAAUGAAUACUGAGCUUGGGUUGGUGGAAAUUGAUUUUCGAGAUAAAGAAUCCAGCCAGGACUGUGAAGCCCCAGGGAAUGGCUGCACUUCAAGUCAGAAGGAGCCUGGGUCCCUGAAUCAUCAUGUGGAAGGCUCUCCACCCAGUUCAAUGGUGCAAUGGACCACAAGCAGGAACUUAAUUUAGAAUGUGCUUAUUUUGUUAGAUUUUGUAAUUAAAAAAUGGAUCCCACUCUGACUGAAUCAGAGAUGUUGAAGUCAUUGAUCUGGGAGGGUAUGUUCCUGGGAGUGGGUGGCUGAGGUGAGAUUUCAAACAAGGUUGUUGAGGAAGAGGAGUUCAAGUGACUGAGAGGACAUAUUGUUGGAUAAAUUGUGCGUGCGUGUGUGUGUGUGUGUGUGUGUGUGUUGAAAUCACCAAGAAUAGGGAAAGAAGUGUAUAAGAGAGUGUGGCAGUGAGCCCAGAGCUAAAAGAAAUCAUGAGCAGGGAGUAAUUCACGAGCAGAAAGUAGAAGCAACGAGAGGCAGUUAAUGAGAGAAGCAGCUGAGGGAUUUUAGCAAGGGAUGGG
rnacentral:lncRNA from 1 species